rnacentral:snRNA from 1 species
UGCCACGAUCCACUGAGAUUCAGCC